rnacentral:lncRNA from 1 species
AUAUUUCUUACGACCAUAUCCCUCAUCAUCAUCACCACGCCUCUCAGAACCAUAGCUCGGUUUCUCCUCAUCAUCACUCCUUCCAUAGCUAGUUUUCCUCCCAUAGCUUGGCUUCUCCUCGUCAUCACUCCUUCCAUAGCUAGGUUUCCUCUCAUACUCAGUCCUCCCAUAGCUCGGCUUCUCCUCAUCAUCACUCCUUCCAUAGCUAGGUUUCCUCUCAUAUUCACUCCUCCCAUAGCUUGGCUUCUCCUCCUCAUCACUCCUCCCAUAGCUUGGCUUCUCCUCCUCAUCACUCCGUCCAUAGCUAGUUUUCCUGCCAUAGCUCGGCUUCUCCUCCUCAUCACUCCUUCCAUAGCUAGGCUUCCUCUCAUACUCACUCCUUCCUCCUCCAUACCCUUCUUCCUCCCCAUAACCACUCUUCUUCCUCCCCGAUCCAUACUCCGAUUCACCACUCUCAUACUCAUUCUUCCGCCCAUAACCCUCACUCUCCUCCUCAUUCUUUCUCCCACCAUAACCAGACCCAUAUCCAGAUUCUUGCUUCCUUCCACCAUAACCAGACCCAUAACCACUUUCCUCAUUCUUUCUACCAUAUUCAGACUCCUGGGCCCCAC